UGCACUCGGAUGUCGCUUG
rnacentral:siRNA from 1 species